GAUGAAGAACGUAGCGAAAUGCGAUACUUGGUGUGAAUUGCAGAAUCCCGUGAACCAUCGAGUCUUUGAACGCAAGUUGCGCCCGAAGCCAUUAGGCCGAGGGCACGCCUGCCUGGGCGUCACACGUCGUUGCCCCCCCAUCUACUCCUUCGGGAUUGCGGGGGGCGGAUGAUGGCCUCUCGUGCGCCUCGUCGCGCGGUUGGCCUAAAUGCCAAGUCCUCGGCGACGCACGCCACGACAAUCGGUGGUUGCGAAACCUCGGUUGCCUGUCGUGUGCGGUAGUCGCGCAUCGAGGGCUCGAAAAAAUUGCCGGGCUUCGGCUCGACUUUCAACGCGACCCCAGGUCAGGCGGGGUUACCCGCUGAAUUUAAGCAUAUCAAUAAGCGGAGGA
rnacentral:misc_RNA from 1 species